UAUAUAGGCCGUGGCUACUAUACUAUUAUGAGUAUUGGAGCCCUCGUACUCAUAAGUUGUUUUCGAUGAUUGAGCUUCCAAAUCGACGAUCCACUCUGUUAAAUAUGAUCUAGAGUAUUUGAAACUUCUAGAAAAUAAAUUUCGUAAAUUUUCGAAAUCAUAAUAAAGUCCAUCAAGCGGGCAUAAAAUGAACGGUCAAAAUCGAACGACGUCUUAAAAGAGGAUGAUCGGAUCCUUCAAUUCAAGAUCGGAGUUAUUGAUCUUUAUCUAGGUAGUGAAUAGAAUUUUUUAUAAAAAAUUCAGCAAAUUCCGAUUCUUUUAUACCGUUAAACUAGCAAGUAUCCUAUACCGGCCCUUAAAAAUUGUGAAAUUUGUGAACUCUUGAUCGUAAGGUAAAUGAUGUCGAAAAAUUAUAAAAUUUGAUUUCUAGAAGUUUUAAAUGCUGUAAAUAACGUUUAACGGUAUGGAUCGUCGAUUCGGAAGCUUUAUUAUCGAAAAUGAUUUAUGAGUACGAGAGCGAUCGUACUGGUA
rnacentral:lncRNA from 1 species